rnacentral:rRNA from 1 species
UACGUAGGGUGCGAGCGUUGUCCGGAAUUAUUGGGCGUAAAGGGCUCGUAGGCGGUCUGUUGCGUCGGGAGUGAAAACUUACAGCUUAACUGUGAGCGUGCUUCCGAUACGGGCAGACUAGAGGUAUGCAGGGGAGAACGGAAUUCCUGGUGUAGCGGUGAAAUGCGCAGAUAUCAGGAGGAACACCGGUGGCGAAGGCGGUUCUCUGGGCAGUACCUGACGCUGAGGAGCGAAAGUGUGGGGAGCGAACAGG